UCCUCUCUCUCACCACGCUCUCCCGCCGCCGCGCUCCACUCCCUCCUCGCCGCGCGCGCACUCCCAUGCUCUUACCCCCGCCUCCCUCGCUCCUCCUCUCCCUCCCGGAGUGCCACCGCCUCCCGCCCCCCUCCGCCCGCCUCCUCCCCAGGCUUCUUUCGCGCCCCUGCUCUUCCCCCGCCCAGGCAGCCGGAUUCCUCCGCGCCGGUCACCUCUCCGUUCAACCCCCUCUUGGCCGCGCUCGCCCGCGUCCUCUACCUCCCUGGCACGACCCAGCUCUUUGCCUCCAUGCGCAACGCCGCCGUCCGGCCCGACGUUGCCUGGUAUGGCAUGCUUGCCAACGGGCUCUGCAAAGCCGGCCGCGCGCAGGGCGCUCGAUGAAAUGUCCGGCCCAAACUCGCGUGUCAUUCAUGCUGAACGCGGUCGUGGGUGCUCCUGUUCCUCAAGGAGAAAAGAACAGCUUGGCCUGAAGCCAGCGGCAAUGCCGUGAACUACAGGCUACAGCACUCUGCUUGGGGAUUUCCUCCACAAUAACAAUGUGUGGGUUUAGCCAUGGAUUGGGUUUGUUCCAUCAGAUGGUGGAUGGAGGGCACUCACAGUCAUGCAUUCUCCCAUGAUAUCGGGAUUGACGCAAGCAGGGCGGUUGAAGGAGGCUUGCUCCAUGGUUUCGCCGAUGAAGAAAGGAGGGAUUCAGCUGGAUGCAAAGGCGUGAGAGGUUACAGAGGCUUAUAAGUGCUUGGUGUACACUUACAAUACUUUGUUGUCUGAUAUGUGCAAAUUAGGACAUUUCUCGGCUGUGGAUGAGUUAUUGGGGAAGAUGAUGGUUGUCGGUCUUCUGAGGUCACCUUUGGUACUCAGCCCCAACACAGUGAUAUACAAUACUUUGAUUAACUUUGUCUGCAAGAGCGGGGAUACUAAUUCACCCAUUGAACUAUUUGAUAAGAUGAGGGAGAAGCAUGUUCACCUGCAAUGCAUUGUUGAAGGGAUUUCAGGAUAAGAAGAUACUAGAAAAGGCUUUUGAACUGAUGGACCAGAUGAGGGAAGAUAGGUGCACACCUGAUAAAGUAACCAUGGAUGCUCACAUAGAAUGGCUACGUGUCAUCAGUGAAACAGACAGAUUAAAGCGUUUUUUGCAGCUAAGGGAGCAUAUGUAACAACAUGCUUAAGAAGUAUCAUGCAUCUGUCAUGUUGCUCACAAAAUGAAGACAAUGAUCCUGAAUAAUUCUUCAGAUUACUUAGAAGCUGCAACACAAUUGUAUCCUAUUCCUAGCUGACCUUAUAUAGGAGAUGCUGUUGUGAUCAGAAUUAUCUGCAAUCUGCAAUCAUAGCCUGUAUUAAAACCCAAUUUCUAUUAAAUCUACAGUUGCUAUAGGUACAGAUUUCCAUGCAAUCUCAUAUAACACGUAUUGUGAGUUCUGCUUAGUUUGUUUGUAGUCUGGUGUUGUAGUUGUGAGUCAUGUGACUGCAGAAUGCAGAAAGUAUAUAUUUCAAGUCCUAAUACCACUAGUUCUUGACAAGUAGUAGUGGAAUGCAGAAAAUAUGGGCAUGCUAGGAUUAAAAUCUUUAAAGUUCUGUCUGCAAUGGCUAUGUUGACCUUACCUUUGAAGAAACAUUAUGCCUGGUGUGGUAGGAGGCUUUUGAAAUGUUAAGCUUCAGAGAUUCUUAGCAGUACAAAACAAAAAAUGAGCCUAAACUUUGCAGCCUUGCAGGACUGUACAAGGAUUGGUUAAGAUGACUCUAAAUAAACCAUUUUCUAGUUAGAACAUUGCUGUUGAUUUGGAGGAAUUGCUGCUCUGUUCACUGUCUGUCGUGCUUGCUUGCCAAUUUUGUGUGUUUUUGAUACCUGUGGUCAAUCUUAACUAAAUGUAGUAGAGAGAAGGUUUAAAUGCAGCGUCAACCGCACAUCAUGAUGAAGAGCAAAUGCAGUCGAUGGAUGUAAUUUUCUGGGGCAUCAAAAAGUGAGUUAACUCAGCGUAUGUCAGGUAUAGAUUGGACAAGAAGCAGCGGCUGCCGGUGCUGCCCUUUUUGUCAGUUGAUGACAGCCAUAUACGCUGACUUGCUCCUGCAAGUUGUUUCUGCUAACGCUGGAAGGAAGGUACACGUCUUAAAAGGAAAGGAGACCUCAUCAUCGGCAUCGGCGAGGAUCUUGGAGCAGUUGAAGCAGACGCAGCGCAUGAUGGAGAGCACGGUCUUGAUGAAGCCGAUGUGGAACAUGGGCUUUGCGAGCUCGAGGUGGCCGAAGUGGCCCGGGCACUCGGCCAUCCCGGCCAUGCAUGUCUCGCACUUGGUCCUCCGGUCAAUGGUGCCCAGGCGAGGGUC